UACGAAGGGGGCUAGCGUUGUUCGGAAUCACUGGGCGUAAAGCGCACGUAGGCGGACUUUCAAGUCAGGGGUGAAAUCCCGGAGCUCAACUUCGGAAUUGCCUUUGAUACUGUUGGUCUCGAGUCCGGAAGAGGUGGGUGGAAUUCCUAGUGUAGAGGUGAAAUUCGUAGAUAUUCGGAAGAACACCAGUGGCGAAGGCGGCUCACUGGCCCGGUACUGACGCUGAGAUACGAAAGCGUGGGGAGCAAACAGG
rnacentral:rRNA from 1 species